UCUCACCUAUACAAGAUGAGGUAAGGGAAAAUGUGCAUGUGCCAAGAGUAGAAAGCUAUUAUUUGAAAGGAAGACGGAAUGACAAGAUGCACGAAAGCAGUCCCUUGCAUUACUCUGCCUAUAACAUCUUGGAUGAGGUUGAUAGGAAACAAGUUUGCCAGUUGGGCAAAAAUGACAGGUUACAGAUGCCCUCCUCAAGGGUUUACCUUACCGAGGAAAGGCAGAAAGGUGAACUCGCCUA